GGGGGGGGGGGGGGGGGGGGGGGGGGGGGGGGGGGGGGGGGGGGGGGGGGGGGGGGGGGGGGGGGGGGCAUCCAAGACCUCCUCAGGAGCGCGCCUCGACCGCCCCUUGCCGCCGCCGCCGCCGCCGCCGCCACACACCCCCACCGCACUCCCGCUGCUCCCGCGCCCCCUCAGCCGGCGGCGUGUACUGACCUGGCCGAGCACUUCAGCGGGCUUCCCACCCUUGGUGCGGGGCUACGAGCGGCGCUGUCCGGGCUCCUCUUCGCCUGCCCGGGGCCGCUGACAACGCGGCGGAGGAGGGGGCAGCGCGCCCGGCAGCCGGAUCCAGCUGCCCCCGAGCGCACCGGGGAGGAGGCGGCCACGUGACCCCCCCGGUAACACCUCACCCCCGGCCCCGCCCCUCCCGCCGCAGCCAAUCAGGGCGGGGCGGGAGGGGCGCGCGCCCUUCCCUUGAAAGCCCCGGCCCUGAGGGAGCGCCGUUCCGGGGGGGGGGGGGGGGGGGGGGGGGGGGGGGGGGGGGCGGGCCGGCGGGGCGGGGGACGGGGCCGCGGAGGGAUGGGUGGAGGCUUUGCUGAGGCCAGUCAGGCUGCUUCUACCAUCCGUACACCCUUUGAGUAUGGAGGACUCUUUGAGUCCCAAUUGUUAUGUGGAAGGGAAAGUUAAAACAUUCUUCAGUGAGAAUUAAUGCUUCGGUCAUAUUCUCCAGAGCUUUGCAAGCAGGUUUUCCCUCAGAAGUGGCACAUGGGCUCUACCUCUCCUGUCCUGCUUGUGCACCUUCUGCCCUACGUGACCAAGAUCCUGCUCUGCACCCCUGGGAGGUGUGAUUACAUCUUGCACAAACUGCAGAUAAACUAUAGAGAUAAAAUCUGGAAGACAAAGUCUUAA
rnacentral:lncRNA from 12 species